AACGAACGCUGGCGGCAUGCCUAACACAUGCAAGUCGAACGAGACCUUCGGGUUUAGUGGCGCACGGGUGCGUAACGCGUGGGAACCUGCCCUUAGGUUCGGAAUAACUCCCCGAAAGGGGUUCUAAUACCGGAUAAUGUCUUCGGACCAAAGAUUUAGCGCCUUUGGAUGGGCCCGAGUUGGAUUAGCUAGUUGUUAGGGUAAAAGCCCACAACGGCGACGAUCCAUAGCUGGUCUGAGAGGAUGAUCCGCCACACUGGGACUGAGACACGGCCCAGACUCCUACGGGAGGGAGGAGUGGGGAAUAUUGGAAAAUGGGCGAAAGCCUGAGCCAGCUAUGCCGCGUGAGUGAUGAAGGCAUUAGGGUUGUAAAGCUCUUUUACCCGGGAUGAUAAUGACGGUACCGGGAGAAUAAGCACCGGCUAACUCCGUG
rnacentral:rRNA from 1 species